rnacentral:snoRNA from 1 species
AAGACUAUACUUCCAGGGAUCAUUUCUAUAGUUCGUUAUUGUAGAAAAACAGGACCUGCCAAGGCUGCAGGGAGGACAAUGAGAAGGGCAG